rnacentral:rRNA from 1 species
UUAACACAUGCAAGUCGAACGAUGAACCAGGGCUUGCCCUGGGAAUUAGUGGCGAACGGGUGAGUAACACGUGGGCAACCUGCCCCAGACACCGGGAUAACCAUCCGAAAGGAUGGCUAAUACCGGAUAUGACCACUUUGGGCAUCCAACGGUGGUGGAAAGGAUUCUGGUCUGGGAUGGGCCCGCGGCCUAUCAGCUAGUUGGUGGGGUAAUGGCCUACCAAGGCGACGACGGGUAGCCGGCCUGAGAGGGCGACCGGCCACACUGGGACUGAGACACGGCCCAGACUCCUACGGGAGGCAGCAGUGGGGAAUAUUGCGCAAUGGGCGAAAGCCUGGCGCAGCGACGCCGCGUGAGGGACGAAGGUCUUCGGAUUGUAAACCUCUUUCAGCAGGGACGAAGCGAAAGUGACUGUACCUGCAGAAGAAGCACCGGCUAACUACGUG